rfam:Pseudoalteromonas rubra strain S2471 contig0027, whole genome shotgun sequence.
UGAGUCAGCCGGAUAAUCGCUGCCUGUGACGAAAAUGAUCAGGGGGAGGAAAGUCCGGGCUCCAUUGGGCAGGGUGCCAGCUAACGGCUGGGGGGCGUGAGCCUACGACAAGUGCAGCAGAGAGAAGACCGCCUAAGUUCUUCGGAACCGGUAAGGGUGAAAGGGUGCGGUAAGAGCGCACCGGACCACUGGUAACAGUUGGUUGCAAGGUAAACUCCACCCGGAGCAAGACCAAAUAGGGUUCCUUAUGGUGUGGCCCGCAUCGGAACCGGGUAGGUUGCUCGAGCUUGGGAGCGAUCCCAAGCCUAGACGAAUGAUUAUCGAUCUCCCUCGGGAGAGAACAGAACCCGGCUUACAGGCUGACUCACCCU